ACCUGGCUGGCUUAGUUGACAGAGCGUGUGACUGUUGAUCUCAGGGUUGUAAGUUUGAGCCCUAUGUUGGGUG
rnacentral:tRNA from 1 species